AGGGUCAAAAAUAUCCCUCUACUUUAAGAAAAGGGCUAAAAAUAUCCUCCGAACUUAUUUUGGGUUAAAAAUGCCCUUCCCAUUACGAAACUUUUCACCUAUGCCCCUCUGUUAACAGAUCCGUCCAAUGCCCCAAAAGAACCCAAAACUUUGACCCGACCCGAAUUGUACCCGACCCAAAUAAAAUAAAACCCCUUAGCUACCAAACACGACUCAAACCUUCAUCAACAUCAGAGAGGGAGAGAGAACACUGUAGAGAGAGAAAAGUGGCGGUUCCAUCUAGGGUUCCGCCGAUUUGCUCUAUUACAACACCAUAAAGGUAUGAUUCUUUAACUACCCACCUUCUAUUAAGUGUAUUUCUCUUCAUUUGCUGUAAGUUUUUGAAGUUUUGAUGAGUUAGGGUUUUUUUAAAUGGGUUCAUUUCUAAUUUUUGAUUAAUGGUUUCUAAUUUUUGUUAAUUUCCCAGUAGGAGUUAUUCGAUUUAUUUGCAAUUUAUCGUCUAUUGAAUUCAAUUGUGUCAAACUUCUAUUUCUACACCUUCAUCUAUUUCUAUUUUGUGUUCCUUUACUUGUUCUUCUAUUAAUUCCGCUAUCACUCCACUAUUCCAUCAUCAUCUAAGAGAACCUUUAGCAGGGGCACUAGUUUUACGAAUAGACAAUGUAAUUUCGGCAUUAAAGCUACCCCGCAACUCUGCAAAAUGUCGCAAAAUAGUUGUUCGUCGCAAAGGAUGUGCAAUCUUGGUUUGGUUGCAAAAAUUUGACAUCCACCACUCCUGCUAAUCCGGGAAGAAGAUUUUUCAGAUGUCUUCGCCCAGAUACCAAGCUUUCCCGGAGAAAGCUUACAUACGAAAUUUAGAGGAGUUGUUGAAAGACGUCAAGAUUGAACGGGACAUUUUGAAGAUUGAAAUGGUCAAUUUGAAGCAUGAAAGUGACAAUUUGAAGAAUGAAAGGGAUUAUUUGUCGGAAGUGGUUGCUACCUUGGAGGCUACUAAUGAGUUGGAAACAAACAAAGCUAAGACAUUUGAGGAGAAGUAUUCUAAGGUGAAAUUCAACCUUAUGAUUUCAUGGGCUGAUUUUGUUGGGAUUUUGGUCGCAUUGAUGACAAAGUGAAUUUCGAGAUGUAGUGUUAGUUGUUAGUUUUUUUAUGAAGCUAAUAUGUAUGUGUAGUAGUUGAGAAGAACCGAUGGUUGUUGUUUUCUCUUGUUUUAUCUUGGAGAUGUAGUGAAUGUAGUAAUUUGGAUGUAAUGUUUGUAAGGUCCUUGUUUGUAAUGUAUGGAUGUGGAACCUACAAAGGUCUAUUGUUUCA